rnacentral:ncRNA from 1 species
CCGGGACGCAGGCUCCCGGGGGCGGGCCAGAACCGCCGAGACGGUGUCCGUCCAAGACCUGC